AGAGUUUGAUCCUGGCUCAGGAUGAACGCUAGCGGCGUGCCUAACACAUGCAAGUCAAACGAGCAGCCGAAUUCUUCGGAAAUCGGUGGGCGAGUGGCGAACGGGUGAGUAACACGUAGGUGACCUGCCCCGAAGAGGGGGAUAAUCCUUCGAAAGAGGGACUAAUCCCGCAUGAGUUCCAAGGAGUUAGAGGUCCUUGGAGCAAAGCUCCGGCGCUUCGGGAGGGGCCUGCGGCCGAUUAGCUAGUUGGUGGGGUAAUGGCUCACCAAGGCGAUGAUCGGUAGCUGGUCUGAGAGGACGAUCAGCCACACUGGCACUGAGACACGGGCCAGACUCCUACGGGAGGCAGCAGUGAGGAAUCUUGCGCAAUGGGCGAAAGCCUGACGCAGCAACGCCGCGUGGGUGAUGAAGGCCUUCGGGUCGUAAAACCCUUUUCUGGGGGACGAGGAAGGACGGUACCUCAGGAAUAAGUCUCGGCUAACUACGUGCCAGCAGCCGCGGUAAAACGUAGGAGGCAAGCGUUAUCCGGAUUCACUGGGCGUAAAGCGCGCGCAGGCGGCUCUGUAAGUCGGGCGUGAAAGCCCCUGGCUCAACUGGGGGAGGUCGUUCGAAACUGCAGGGCUUGAGGUCGGGAGAGGGAAGCGGAAUUCCCGGUGUAGUGGUGAAAUGCGUAGAUAUCGGGAGGAACACCAGUGGCGAAGGCGGCUUCCUGGCCCGCACCUGACGCUAAGGCGCGAAAGCGUGGGUAGCGAACGGGAUUAGAUACCCCGGUAGUCCACGCCCUAAACGAUGGCAACUAGGUGUUGGGGGCUAUUAACCCCCUCAGUGCCGAAGCAAACGCGAUAAGUUGCCCGCCUGAGGACUACGAGCGCAAGCUUAAAACUCAAAGGAAUUGACGGGGACCCGCACAAGCAGCGGAGCGUGUGGUUUAAUUCGAUGCAACACGAAGAACCUUACCUGGGUUUGACAUGUCCGUAGUAGUGAAGCGAAAGCAGAACGAGCCUGUAUAGGCAGCGGUCACAGGUGCUGCAUGGCUGUCGUCAGCUCGUGCCGUGAGGUGUUGGGUUAAGUCCCGCAACGAGCGCAACCCCUGCUGUUAGUUACAUGUGUCUAACGGGACUGCCGGUUUAACGCCGGAGGAAGGUGGGGACGACGUCAAGUCAGCAUGGCAUUUAUAUCCAGGGCUACACACGCUACAAUGGCCGGUACAAUGGGUUGCCAAGUCGCGAGGCGGAGCUAAUCCCAUCAAAGCCGGUCUCAGUUCGAAUUGGAGUCUGCAACCCGACUCCAUGAAGUUGGAGUUGCUAGUAACCGCCGGUCAGCCAUACGGCGGUGAAUACGUUCCCGGGUCUUGUACACACCGCCCGUCACGUCAUGGGAGCCGGUAACACCUGAAGCCGGUGGGCUAACCCGCAAGGGAGGCAGCUGUCGAAGGUGGGGCUGGUAACUGGGACGAAGUCGUAACAAGGUA
rnacentral:rRNA from 1 species